GUGAGAUGAUGAACUUGUUUAUCCAUUCUCUGAGCACUGCUGGCCCCUGUCUCUGCAGCACUCACGACCUGUUCUAGGCCUGAGUGUCACGGCUCCCAGACUCGGCUCGGCCAUUCCAGUGUUCUGCUGGGGGUGGAGCAGGGGUCUGGAGAGCUGGAGCAGGACUGGAGGCUGUAGCAAGAGGCAGAACCAGCCUCUGCAGAGACGAGUCAAACAGUCUGAUCAC
ensembl:snoRNA